UCCUUGGUGGUCCAGUGGCUAAGACUCUGCACUCUCAAUACAAGGGGCCCAAGUUCAAUCCCUGGUCAGGGAA
rnacentral:tRNA from 1 species